CCAUGCUGUGCCAGAUUCUCCCAGCCAGCGUCCCUCUCUGGAUGUCUGCCACCUGACUCUGGGCAGCGCUGCUCUAUGCUGGUGGUCUAAAAUGUAACGAAUAAGUUUGGAACAAGAGAUUUAUGUGCUCAGGGCUUGGAAAAUUGGAGGCAAAGCUAUUUUCCAGCCCUGGAGAGAAAAAGGACCCGGCCAGCCAGUUGGGAUCAGGUCAGAGGCAUCGGAGGAGGUGACCGUUGAUUGGAAGGUGCGAGGAGUAGGAUGGGUGGGAAUGGAGUGGGUGUCACUGAGAACAGGGGUUACUAAAACAUUGUGGAAGAUAUGAACAUCAAAAGGUAUAGAAUUCUCUUUUCUCAGAGAAAGAAUGCGGCUAACCACUUAGGCCUGUUCAGGCUGUGAAAUCCCAUAUUGCUCUCCCUGCGUGAAAGACAAAUGAAAUUGUUUCUGUGAUUAUCUCUGAAGAGGAAAGGAAAAAUGAGACCGAAGCUUGACAACCAGAAGGCCCUUCAAAUUGGGCUCUAGCUGCAGACACAUGAUACCUGCAAGCACUCUUCCCAGGAGCUCCUAAUCUCCAGGCUGGCUGGCUGAUUACAGAGCUGGGCCGCUGGAAUGCAGCAGACGGCUAUGAUUGCUACAAAAUCAGCUCUCGGAAUGACAGCUCACACACUCCACGUGUGUUUGACAAAGCCUAUUAUUUAGAUAAACGAAGCAUCCUUUUAGUUCUGGGUCUUACAUGAAGCCCUUCGCUGCCUGGGGCCAAGUCCUCAAGAUCUUAUAAUUAGCCACGAGAUAAGCGCAGUGAAAGUGACAGCCCGAGGUGGUGUUUUUUGGCUUUUUUUUUUUUUCUUUCCAUUUCCCUGUGGAAUGCCAUCUUCUUCCACCUUCCAGCACCAAACUCACACAGGGAGCUUUUACCACAGCUUCCCCACUCCCUUCUCUUUGAAAGCUGAGACUAAUUUCUUUUUCCAGGCAAGCUUCUCAGGAAACUUCACAUUUGCUGUUAUUAAAAGAAAUGGAAAUACACAGACAUUUCAUUUUCAUUUAAUUGUCUUACAGUCUGGUUAAAUGCAAUUGCCUGGACCGCCUGUCAAAGGCCCCAGCCGUGGCCCCAGCCAACAGCAGCAGUCCCACCUGCACACGGGCCUGUUCUGCAACGCCUGGAAAGAGAAAAGCUGAGGGCCAGCUGUCUAACGUCUAGUCUGCCGUGCCACCCUCACGCGCCCCUGCCCUUCAUCUGUGUGUCAUUAUAUGUCAGAAUGUAUUACUGCGCUCAACAGUCGAGCUAAGCUGUUCUUUUUCAGGUUAAUUACCAGGCUCAAAUUACUGACCCCUUGUCUGUUUUAUUAAGAUGUUGUUGCAGAUAAUGGAUAAUUUGAGAGGGGAGAAAUUCCAAUUUCCUGUUUGGCUGCCUUUGGAUGAAGUCCUUUCCAGGAUGGUAACUGAAUCCGUGUGUAUCUUGUACCCAUCUGAUUUGACGGAAUCACCCCAGCUUGAGGCUCACCUCCCAUUUUGUGGGUGAAGAUAGACCACUACCCUGGAAAUGCAUUUGUUAUUUCUAUAAAAACACUAAGGAAACAACUGGAAUCAAGUCAUUGCUAUCAGGAUCAAACCUAUCACGCCAGCUCCCUGGAAAAUGGGGUCGUCCCACCCUUGGCGGGAGGAGCAAUUGGUUCCACCCGGUUUUUGAAUGGAGACUAAUUCCUUCGUGGACGCACAGGAGAGUUUCUCUCUGUUUCUCCUUGUGGGGUCCAUGCUUCCAAUGUGAGGAUUAUUUUACAACCACCUCAGCCUUCUUCCUGAUCCCCAGAUCAAAGGAAGACACUCUGGACAUAGUAAAUAUUAUUAACAUUAUAAUCCAUGCCUCUCCGGGCACUUGGGCUCCAUUUUCACACUAAUAAAGUUACUGCAUGAAAAUCCGAUUAGGAGAGGGAGCAAAUGAGAUGUGUUUCAUGAGGUGAGUCUGUGAUGGUCCAUUUCAGCCGGGAAUAAUUGUGUGUUUUGGUGCAUCUUCAAAUGGUUUACCAAAAUGUAUUCAUUUACACAAAAGGCAGGAGGCAGGCAUGAUUGUUUUUAUUUCUCCAAUUAAGAAACUGGGAAACCUGAUGUAGGGCUCGAGGGAGCUCGUGCACUGUAGAUUUUUGUUUUCUUUUUGGUGCCCCUGUUUCAGGAAGCAGGUAGAAGAAGGAAGAGGUAGCAUGAAGGAAACUGAACCGACACUCACACUUCUAAGUGCCAUUGAGAUUUCUACCCGACGUGAUUUCAGAGACUUUUCUCUAGGGUGCUGGACUAUUUGUACCUUGGCAAGAAACCUAGCAUCCGUGGGGGUUUUCUAGCUCCACGGAGAAAUCUCUGGAGCCACGCUUCUCCCCCUUUCUCCCUCACCAGCUCCAUCUCUUGGGGUCUCACCCCUCCCAGCUCCUCACCCGUCUCCUCCUGACGUCCUACCUUGUACCUGCCUGAAUCUCUUCUCUUCUAGUCCUCCUCCGCCCGGCAUGGCCCGGUGGCAGCUAACCAAGUAGACACUAACAAAAAGCUGCCAAAUGCAGCUAAACAGCGAGAAAGGUUCGCUUCUUCCGGCCCGGCGGCCAGCCUGUGUCCAGAGCAGGAAGAAGCUGGAGCCGGCUCACCCCUAAUCCAUAUUUCAAUACAGAUGGCCUAAGGUUAUAGUUUAAGCUUCCAUUAAAAAAACAAAUUGGUUGUUGGGUUGCCUAAAAUAGAGCCAAAAGACACUAACUAAUGAACCCUCAGUAGGUCUAAUCCUCCCUUUGGCAAAGAGGGAACGAAGUGAAGACACCCAGCUUCACUCAGCAGCGAGUCUGUACUCUUGAUGCCUGAGAUCUGCUCCUCCCCUCCUCCUAGUUUUCUAGCGUGUUAUUUUGUUUAUUAUGAUUCACUAGGUAUGGCUGAGUGGAAAAAUGAUGCUGGCGUAAAGCCAUAGAGCAACAUUUCUCAACCUUGGGCCAGGUAACUCUGCAUGGUGCGGGCUGUCCUGUGCAUUGUUCACCAGUAUCUCUGCCUGCUCCCCACAACUGCAUACCAAUAGCAUUCCUCCAAAUAGCAUUUGGGUAAUGACAACCCAAAAUGUCUCCAGACAUUGUCAAAUGUCCCCGGACUGAGGGGGAGGGCAAAAUCAUCCCAGUUGAGAACCACUAUAACAGAGACAGCCAAAAGGCCAAAAAAUUAAACCAUCCAAUUAAUUCGGGCUGUUCGCUUAGAGUGGACGGAUGUCCACAAACAGCAGAGCACGUUCAUUGUGCUUCCAUUUGUUUUUCUGGUCUCAGAACCAAUUAUCUAUUUAAUGAAGUCCUUCUGUCUUCAUCAGACUCAUUGGCGACACCAAAGUAAUGAGGAAACCCUGACAACCUGGGGGUGGGACAGGCGGCCUGGGACACUCAGCCAGGCUGGGGGAGCUGAGCCCACACCUCACGUACUAGCCGCUGUUUGAUGAUUGCAUAGCAGAAGGCUCAACAGAAACGCCUUGUAUCUGAGCAAAUCUCCAUAAGUUCUGGUUCUGGUUCAAGGGAAGAAGGAGCCCUGGGCAAGGAGGCGGGAGCCCCCUACUCAGCGAGCAACACAAACCCAGACAAGCUCCUUCACUGUCCACACUUCCAUCUUCCUGUCCCCCAAAUGGAGACAUCACUUCUACUAUUUGGUCUCUCCCACGUGGUUACGACCAGGAUCUCGGUAGAUUAUUUCCAUGAAAGCACCUUAAGGAAUAGAGCACUUUGAGCAAAUGAAAGGCUUUUUGUUCUUCUUUGUCUGGGUCCCAUCCUUCGCAGGCCCUGGAAGGAUCCCAGACUCUGCAGAUGGCAUUUCCUGUUUAAUCUGCGAGAACUCUGCUUCAGACAGUUUAAGUAAGGCAGGUGUCGCAUUGCAGAAGAGAGUUUAUCCUCUGCCACUAUUGACAUCUUACAGAGGACUGACUCGGGAAACGUUGCCCAACACAAAUCUUCAUAGCUGGAUUUUAAAGCGAUUUUUAUGCAUUGAACUUAUCAGCAUGGUUUAGAGAAAGGAAAUAUAGAGCUUAAGCUUGGUAUUUAUUUAAAUAAUGCAAUUCUUUGGAAAAUGAGUUCAUGCUGAGCCCUUUGAAAGAAAGGCAUCAACCGCAGUGAAGUCUGAAUUAGUUGUAUGUGAGGAUGAGGAUAUUUCUCCUGACCUGUUUAUUGGCCUCAUUGCUCUAAAAUGCACUAGGGCAGAGGUUCUCAAACUUGAGCAUGCAUCAGAACCCCCUUGAAGGUUUGUCAAAAUCCACAUGGCUGGGCCUCACCCUGGAGUAUCUGAUUCAGCAGGUCUGGGGUGCAGCCAGAGAAUGUGCAUUUCUAACAACCUCCCGGGUGAUGCUGAUGCUGCUGGUCCCGGUACCACACUGAGAAUCGUGGCAAUGGAGCUAAGGUGAAGCAAAAAGACUUCCAGGGAGCGCUGACAUUGGUGUCCCAUCCAUAUCCCCUUAGCACUCACCUUUCUGCCUGAAGACUGUCACAGCGUCUCCUGCCACUCUACUCAGGGGCGCUAGGCCUGCAGGGGACACACAGAUAGCUGGAGAGUUAGUGCCCCUGGAAGCAGCCCUUCAUCAAUGCAGGCAGGAUGGAGUGGAUAAAUACCCCCUGGUUCCCUACUCCUUAGAUGGGAUCGUUCUGAGCUGUGGUCUGCAGCAGUCCUGUGACUCGGAGCAUGGUCCCAGCACCAGUGCUGGCCGGUUUCCUGAGCUGUCUGUUACCAGUCUGUGCUGGGCCAAGUGCUGAAAUUGAGCGUGAGCACUUAGAAACUUUUAUGGCAAUUUGAGACUUUAAUUUUAUAACUGUUGAAGCUAAUAAUAAUAAUAAUAAUAAUAAAGGAGGCUUGUAUUUUGUACGUCUUUGUUCCCAUUUUUUUGUAUUUUAUGAAAACAUCAGUCCUCCAUGGUUUGGCCAGACAAAGGAAUUCUGCACCUCGGAAAGUCUGAAGAGCCCCGGCCCCGAGCCGCCCAGCAGGGCCGAGCCUCUGCGGCCCACGGCAGGGGCCCGUUCAUCCGAGGACCUGCUCUUGGCCUCCUUCCCUUCCCUCUCUCUCUUCCCACCCUCCUCUGGGUAUUUCCUGUGACCCCCUCCCAAAUCCUUGCCUGUCCUUGAAUCCUUAUCUCAGGGUCUGCUUCUGGGGAAACCCAAACCAAGACCCUUAACUGAUGUGAUUUCUUGAAAUUCUUUAAAAUGAAACUCACUCUCUCUCUUUAAAUAUUAUAUAUACUUACUGGGAGAUUUUACAUUUUCAGGGAUCUAGCUUCUCUUUUAAAAUAAGGACAUCUCACAACAUGGGACGUGCUUUACCACACGGCAGCAAGGAGCCGUCACCGAGCUCCUUUGGAUGGAAUGUUCCAAUUUUGCCACAUCUUCCACCAUUCCCUGCUGUUUCCCCAAAGCUAUUUUCCUUGCCAGUUAUCAUUUAGUUGCAGGGUAUUUUUCUCAAAUAGGAUAAAUAUUUCCCUUUAUCAUAGUCUCCUUCAAAAAUGGGUACAGAUAAACCAAGAGCACCACAGGUUUUGAGUAAAAAACUGGAGAAAACACAUUUCUACGAAAGAAAGAAGAGCAUUCCUGUGCAUUUCACAUGAGAACAAAGACUUUCACCCCCGGCUCUGCCCUCUGAGGGAAUUUGAACUUGUGAUCUCGUGGCCUAGAACCUAGAUUUCAUCUUCCACCUCCCAGGGACAAAUAGGUCAAAUGGGCGGGAGAUAUUCUGAGGGGUGCCACUGGGACUGAGCAAGACCAAUUUGGGGUGAAAUUGGGAAGUCUGUGGGGUGCGGAUGAGAGGUCCUCCUUGUCUUGGAGAACAGAGCAGACCAGCAACUCCUCUAGUUCCUUCUCCUCUGAUGAGGCUCAGACUGGGAGACAGGGCUCCUCAUUUGAAGGCCCAACGUGUUGCCUUGGACCCUCAACAAGAUCAUCGGUGGCCUUCUUAGAUCCACUGUCCCCCCAUCAUGCAGAGAUAGGACCAAUAUCUUCACUGGCUGUGGAGCAAAUUGAGUCAUUUUACAGUACAUUUUUCUGUGAACGUUCCAAAGUUGUUUAUUACUAUCAGGAAGUAAUGUAAAAAACAUAUACUUCCACAUAUCCAUCGCUCCCUUCCACCAUGGCUACCUGAAAAGAUUAUUAAACAAGCUAGGGAUGGCCUCAUUGCUGGAAAUGCUGUCAUUUCUCCCCCAGAACUGUGCUAACAGGAUCCUGCUUGGGGUUUUUUCUGCUCCUCCUCUUUGUUCUCUGUAUUUUAUUUACCAUAAAAACACAGUUUUAAGCCAAACAAGGGGAGAAGUCCUUCCCUCAGAAUCCCACGACCCUGAGACAAUAGCCUUUUUCCUUUUUCUCACCGUGAAGGGUACCUACAAUUUUUGGUUCUCAGGUCUUUCCUCACAUUAUCUCUGAAACGUUUCUGUAUGUCUGGACAAUCUUUGUGAUGGCCACAGGAGCUCCUGCAGGCCCUGUCAGAGGCCUUCAGGUUGUUUUCGAGUUUAGGUGCUUGUUCAUGUAUUCAGCUAUUAUUUCAAUGCUCAUGAGCAUCUUCAUGCAGGCAGCAUGUUUUCUUUCUUGGGUAAUCUUUCCUUUGGAUAAAUAACCAGGAGACAGAGGACCCUAGGAUCAAAGGACACGAGCUUUUGCAGACAGGGAAAUAAGCCUCAGGACUUGGGGGACUUGCUUCACAGUCCGGAAUUUUAUCUCAGAGCGUUUUCUUCCCAGCUUAUCACUAACUUGUUUUGGCUCCAACGACUUAUUUCUAAAAUCCAACCCUCCCUCACAGAAUGUGAAAAUGACACGAAAAAGAAGAUUUGAAAAAUUGUGCCAAGGCUUUGAUUUCCCAAAAGGAAGGGAGGCGUUCAGAGAAGGAGGCUCAGGCUCCGCGGGGCCUGGAGUUGGGGUGCAUUUCUCAAGUAGCCCCACCAGGGCCCUUUUCACCGCCCGCCCACUGCCACCCCCCCAUCUGUACCUACAAGGCCACUGCCACCUGGCCUAUAGCAAGGUGGGCUCUGACAUUGAAAUAUCAUAAAUAGAAACCUCGUUCAUUUUUGUUCCCCAUUCCCAAUAACACCAGUGGUCACCCCCAAAUCAACAUUAAAACAACAGAAGACUCCAGAAACCCAACUCUUUCUGCAGUAAAAGCCUGGAAAUUACAUUUUAUACAAUUAAGAAGACAGCAUUUUAAACAUAAUUCUAUCAAUUCAGCUAAAUGCUCUCCAACUAUAAGAUCCACUCUCUAAAACAAAGGACUAUGCCUUUCUCAUCAAUAUAAUUACAUUUUUAAAUGAAAUUUUUAGAGGACCCUUUCCAUGAGGCAUGCCAGUUGUUUCCAAAUGCUUGAUUAGGUUGUUAAUCUCCUUUCCCUCCUUAGCAACGCGCUUCAAGGGGCUACUUCAUACCAAGUUCACAUUCGUGAAACAAUUAAGAUAAUUAAGAUAAUACGUCAUUUCAAAAAUAUAUGAUUCUGGAUCCCUGAAAGCGUCUCCUAAAAGACCCAAGGAUCUCAUUGCAGAAACGGACCAUCAAAAUAGAACUAAACUUGCAUUAUUUGAAGGACUCAGACAUUCUUUCAACUUUGGGUGUUUAGAGUUAUUUAGAAUAGUUCUACCUUUUGUUUCUCCCUUUAAGAUUUUCUAGAUUCCAAAGGACCUCCAAGAGAAGUUAGGAAAUUAAAUAAGAAAAUCUUUCUGAGAUAAAAUACUGCUGCAAACGUACCUGUAGUGCUAGGAAUCAGGAUGGUGGAUCCUGGGUGAUAACUGAGAAGCUGCACCAGAGAACCUUCUGGGGGAUGGAAAUGUCUAUUACCUUACGAGGAUUCAUACACACACAAAAACCACUGGUUAUGGUUUCUGAGCUUUGCCGUUUGCAUGUUAUAUCUUAAUUUAAAAGGCCAGAUAAAUAAUAAUUAAGAGGAAAAAAAGGAGAUGCUGCCACAAAAUCAUCUGUUGGAGAAAUAGGGAUGGAAUAUGCUGUGUGUGGGGCAGAUGUGGAGGGACGGGCCAGGUAUGGCAGCCAGAUUCUGGAAUCAGGUCCACCUACACAGCUGGUGGGCUCAGUGAGAUGAAAACGCAGCCCUCUUGUUCAACAGUCGUUAAGAAUUUCAAGAUGGUGGCAGCCCAGCAGUAAACCAAGUGCGGCACAGCCCGUAAAGCCUGCUGGGCUGUAAUCUGUCCCCACGGCCGAGAAGGGAGUGGCUGGAUUUCCUAAGGUGUUCCUUUUUUUCUUCCAUUUUUAAUUUCAGCCUAAUAGGAUCGCUUGUUGCCAUGGUUAGUCAUUGCUGCAAUUUGUGCCCCUAUUAAAUGCAAAUUAACCUACUUAGGGAGUUCUCCCUUGGUUUCCCAGGAUAUGCAGGCCUCCAUCUAUGUAGGGGGAGGUGGAGAGGGGGUCUCUCAUCUAGCGCUGAGUUUCUAACUUCUGCUGCUGUCCUGGCUCAGACCCACUCCUGACUUCCUGAUGCUUCAGCCGUAAUGUGCAGGAGCCACUGGCUUUGAGAAACAGAAUCUUCCUAGGACCCGCUGUUGACAUUCUUCUUUGUCAAAGAGUUGCUUUGGCAGAGGGACAGAUCUGCAGGGCCCCUCUCUGUGGCAUGACAUGAUGGGGAUGCCCUCAGGGACCUUGAGAACUUCCCUUCUCCAUGGGGGUUUCUUGUCUUCAUCUCUAGUCUCCACAGCAGCAUUCCUAAGGGGAGUGAAGUCCUCAGAGAGACACUAAUGACAUGCUUUUAGCUCUUCCAGGACUUGGAACUCUCCGGUACGCAGGGGAGAGUUUGGCCAACACUUACCUGUCCAAGCAAGAGAGAAGCAGUUAGAGAUGUCUCUAGCUGCUAUGGCCCUGAGACCACAGCCGGGCACCAGCACCCCCUCAGCGUCCCCCCUUGGCUCUCACUGCACUGCUUCUUUCAGUUUCUCAAACCCUCUUCCGGACUCUUGGCUGUUGCCCCUCUCUUCCCUCUGCCUGGACCACUUCUCUCCCGGGCCUCCAACCUCACUCCUCUUGCCUGCUUAAUUCCUUCCACAGGGAGAGUGUAUCCUGUGAUGCCCAGAAAGCGGGUCCCACUAGCACGCCGCCAGUGUGCCCUCCCCCUCCGCAUGCACCACACAGCCUUGCUUACUUGUUCUCAUGGCCAGCCCCCGGUGGGCACUUGCUUCCAUGACAGCAGGGACCUAUCUUGUUCCAUCAUCCAGCAUCUCCCACUGUAAGGGAUGUGUGCGGUUGCUCUAUAAAUAUCAGAGAGUGAGUGAUGAAUGAGUCAGCAACUGAAGUGUCUCUGGUCAGGC
rnacentral:lncRNA from 1 species